CGCACGCACGCAAACACACACACACACACACACACACACACACUCUCGUCUCAGACAGCACUCAUACCUUAGCAAUGUGCACAGCAUUAAAUGGGUUGUAGGGGCUACCUUUUUUUUUUUUUGGAUAACUUUUACCUUUGGAGAAAUGAUGUCCCUGAUGGUUGUUUCCAAAUUGCAUUCGAAUACGUGGGCCUUGGUGAGUUUCCUUUCCCAGUGCGCUGCUAACCAGAUUUUGGCUAGGGGCCCCCGCUUGGACGUGAAGAGUUGCGUGUAGAACAGCAUGUCGGGAGGUUGGCGGUCGCCUGCGGCAAACACAACACUGGCAUUGGAGAGCAGCUGGGCGUUUGGUCAGACUUACUUGACUGUCAACUACGACUGACGUUUGCUAAACUCCCAGCGUCAAAGUCGGCUAGCUCGCCGUGCUUGCUAGGAGGUAACUUCGCGACGGGCUAGCUUUUCCAGACGUACGUUAGUUAAAGCAUCGUGGCGGCGGUAUGUCUUUUAAUACAGCUCACAAUUAAGUCUUCUGGAUACUGUUAUAUUGAACAUUCAAAGUCCUCGUCAAUGUGAACUUCUACACGAAAGGGGAACGUUUCCACGGAUUCGGUUAUUUGUGAUCGUCAAAUGCCAGAGAGUCAGAAGAGGUGCUCAAACUAUGGCUUAUAAGCAACUUCCAGGAGAAAAAGACAAAGGAGGGCGUAGGUGUGACGUCAAGAUGAGCCUGCCAGACAUGACUGUGGACUUCCCAGCCAAGAGAGAAGGAUGAUGAUCAGUGAUCUCAUCACUAAUCCUGCCGGAGAGAUCCCACAAGUUGGCUGUGAUGUCUCUGCCUUCAUCUCAUCAGCAUUAGAGCCAGAACAAUCUGUUUUCACUUUUUUUGCGACAGCAUUUGACCCUUGACUGAAAGUCCUUCAGUAAAUACCAUUUUAACACAACCAGAUUUUAACAUUUUAGAGGGAGAAUUGUAAGAUAGCAACCAGUGUGAGUCAGAAUAAACUACCAUACCUUUGCACUGAAAAUGAAAGUAAAGAGAGAAAUUGCAGAAGAAAAUUUUUUCGAGAGUCAUGUCAGCUUCUUUAUGUCAUUAUCCAUGACUAGCAACCAUUGAAAACAACAUCAGUAAAAUCUGGACCAGACAACCCGCUGCUGUGCUACUUACCUUCCUGGAAGGAAUGGCUUGUCCUCACUUAAACUCAUGGAGGCCAGGCGGAGAGCAGGACACAGGAGAGGAGCUUGACCAGUCACAGAGAAGGGGGAGAGACAGAGAGAGAGAGAGAGAGAGAGAGAGGAUCACUGGACCUGUUUGAGGCUCACACUGAAGAGUCCGGUUAAGGAUAUCCUCCUCUUCACACUUACGCACAUCUGGCCAGGUGGACACGCUCUCACUCUCUCACACAGCAUAUGCGCUCAUCAUCAUUGUGAAGAUGCACUGAGCUCCACUGAUGUAGAACGAAAAGCCCACAGUGACGGCAGGCCAGCCAAAGAGAGAGAGAGGGUGAGAGGAGAGAGAGAGAGAGAGAGAGAGAGAGAGGGUGAGGGAGAAAAGGAUGAGUAUAAUACUGGCAAGCUCUGAGUGCCACUGAUGAAGUACCGCUCCCCACCCCAUUUCCUCUAUCCAUCCUAACUUGCCACUUUCCCGCAAUACUUAUCCCCUACACUUUAAUUUGUCUCUACACUUAAAGAAGCAUUAUUCAGCUUCUUUACACAUAUGAAUCAUGUACGUGAAUCGUGCUUUUAAGGUGGGUUUUCCCCAAUCAGUUUCCACAGUUUACGCGCCAACAGCUGCUCAUUUCUGAGACUACGAGCGACAGUGUGAAAACUGGCUCUUGAUUUACAGGUGCAACAUUGUCAAGGGGGAUUUUGAUCUUAAAAAUAGAUUUUGAAAAUAAAAUAGAGUGAUUUUAAUGGAAUAUUAAUGUUGUAGGAUGUGCCUGUCAAGUGGUCAUUUAGGCUAAAACUCAAAGUGAGAAAAAUUUUGAUUGUAAUAUCUUAUUAUGUCAAUGGGAUAUUAGACCGCUUAUGACCGUCUUUCAUCAUGGUCCUAGUGAAAAGAUGAAGCUGUGCCAACAGUUGAUGAAUUUCCUCAGUGAACGCCUGUUGCUAGCACUGGCAGUAAAUGAUUAUGUUAGUAAACAAUGAGAACUGCAAAAUGUUUGCAACUAGAAUAAAAUUUCUCAGGUGAUUAGUCUUAAUUCAAGGGUCCAAAAUGAUAAAGCGUCAUCCUCGUUCACACAGUAUAUCCAGCCCUGGUAGGGAGCAUUUGAACUGCUCCUGAAGCGCAGUGUCAUCCUACUUUUUCAUACCCACCAAUGCAGUUUGCUCACAGCGGCGCUGCUCCCAGACUGACUGUCAUGGAAAGCUGCUUAAGGGAGCAUGGGCUGACUCGCUGAGCAGCGCCGAGGCUGCAGGGCUGACAGACUAAUACCUCAGCAAACGGUCCUGGUCUUUCUCAGGCCUCUAGCUCUGACACUUUUAUACGAACUUAGUGUCACAGCCUGUGGUCCGCUGUAGGAUGAAGUCACUCCAGUGACUUAUUAGAGAUGACAGUAGGCAGGAAAUGAUCAGAAUGAGAGUAAAUCAUGGGAAAUUAUUUGAACACGAGAGCAGUCACUUUACAUCAGAUCCUAAAGACAUUGCGAAUGUCAGUAAGUCAGUUAAUUUUUUGCCAUGGUAGCUGCAUGGCUAUAGUGAUGGCAACAUGGGUUGGUCCCCUGGACACUUUUGUCCAGGCUGAAAUAUCUCAACAAAUGUUGGAUGGAUAGGUAUUAAAUUUUGUGUUAUUAAUCGACUUUGGUGAUCCUACUGGCUUUUCCUCCAGCUACACCAGCAGGAGAAAGUUUAAACUUAUCCUGUGAAAUAUCUCAAGAUCUAAUGGAUGGCUUGGUGCAAAAGUUGUCACUGAUAUCCAUGGUGCUCAUAUAUCUUAAUGGCUUUGAUGAUCCCCUGACUUUUCCUGUGGUGCCACCAUGAGGUUGAUAUUUGUGGUUGUGAGUAAAAUUUAUCGACAUCUACUGGAGUGAUUGUCAUUUUGUACAGACAUUCAUGCCCCCCCCCCCCUCAGGAUGUAUUGUAAUAACUGGUGAUCCUCUGUGUUUUCAAAUAGUCAGGUGAAAUUUAGAAUUUGUCCAGCGCUUUGUUUUAAACGACAAUAUGAAAGCAAUAUGAAAGUGUGAAAGGGGUUACUUGUAGUGAUGAACCUACAGAGAAUUAUGGUGAGUUUCAGCUCAUUCUUCAGCUGUCCGGCCACACAAGUUCACUCUCGCUCGCUCUCAUAUAACAUCGUUUUCAGCUGCAGCAGGCGGCUGUUUUCAGUGGAAA